rnacentral:rRNA from 1 species
UACGUAGGGCGCAAGCGUUGUCCGGAAUUAUUGGGCGUAAAGAGCUCGUAGGCGGUUUUGUCGCGUCUGCUGUGAAAACCUAAGGCUCAACCUUGGGCUUGCAGUGGGUACGGGGCAGACUAGAGUGCGGUAGGGGGAGAUUGGAAUUCCUGGUGUAGCGGUGGAAUGCGCAGAUAUCAGGAGGAACACCGAUGGCGAAGGCAGAUCUCUGGGCCGUAACUGACG